rnacentral:rRNA from 1 species
GAACGCUGGCGGCAGGCCUAACACAUGCAAGUCGAACGGUAACAGGAAGCAGCUUGCUGCUCGCUGACGAGUGGCGGACGGGUGAGUAAUGUCUGGGAAACUGCCUGAUGGAGGGGGAUAACUACUGGAAACGGUAGCUAAUACCGCAUAACGUCGCAAGACCAAAGAGGGGGGACCUUCGGGCCUCUUGCCAUCAGAUGUGCCCAGAUGGGAUUAGCUAGUUGGUGGGGUAACGGCUCACCAAGGCGACGAUCCCUAGCUGGUCUGAGAGGAUGACCAGCCACACUGGAACUGAGACACGGUCCAGACUCCUACGGGAGGCAGCAGUGGGGAAUAUUGCACAAUGGGCGCAAGCCUGAUGCAGCCAUGCCGCGUGUAUGAAGAAGGCCUUCGGGUUGUAAAGUACUUUCAGCGGGGAGGAAGGUGUUGUGGUUAAUAACCGCAGCAAUUGACGUUACCCGCAGAAGAAGCACCGGCUAACUCCGUGCCAGCAGCAGC